UACGUAGGGGGCUAGCGUUGUCCGGAUUUAUUGGGCGUAAAGAGCGUGUAGGCGGCCAGGUAGGUCUGGUGUGAAAACUCGAGGCUUAACCUCGAGAUGUCAUCGGAAACCAUCUGGCUAGAGUCCGGAAGAGAAGAGUGGAAUUCCUGGUGUAGCGGUGAAAUGCGCAGAUAUCAGGAAGAACACCAAUGGCGAAAGCAGCUCUCUGGGACGGUACUGACGCUGAGACGCGAAAGCGUGGGGAGCGAACAGG
rnacentral:rRNA from 1 species